rnacentral:rRNA from 1 species
CACGAAGUUAGCCGGUGCUUAUUCUGUUGGUAACGUCAAAACAGCAAGGUAUUAACUUACUGCCCUUCCUCCCAACUUAAAGUGCUUUACAAUCCGAAGACCUUCUUCACACACGCGGCAUGGCUGGAUCAGGCUUUCGCCCAUUGUCCAAUAUUCCCCACUGCUGCCUCCCGUAGGAGUCUGGACCGUGUCUCAGUUCCAGUGUGACUGAUCAUCCUCUCAGACCAGUUACGGAUCGUCGCCUUGGUAGGCCUUUACCCCACCAACUAGCUAAUCCGACCUAGGCUCAUCUGAUAGCGUGAGGUCCGAAGAUCCCCCACUUUCUCCCUCAGGACGUAUGCGGUAUUAGCGCCCGUUUCCGGACGUUAUCCCCCACUACCAGGCAGAUUCCUAGGCAUUACUCACCCGUCCGCCGCUGAAUCCAGGAGCAAGCUCCCUUCAUCCGCUCGACUUGCAUGUGUUAGGCCUGCCGCCAGCGUUCAAUCUGAGCCAGGAUCAAACU